UCUCAUUUCGGGGUCCUGGGGGUCGCCAAAUGCGCUCGGCGAGCUAGAUGCCUCCGAAACGAGCCAGGGACUCCCUCAGCUGCCAGUCAGGCUGGCGCCCUGGGAAAUGCAAAGCCCCAGCACAGAGCAGCACAACUCCCCUCAACGAGCACAGGCAGCUGAAACAGAAACAGGAAUAAGGAUGUCGAAAAUCUGUUUCAGCCCUGCAACAGAACAGCUCCCAAAGACAGGGGCAUCACAGGGUCCUGCUACCUUCUUUAGACAGAGAAGAGCACCCACAGCCAAGAAAACAAGACACGGAUGAAUAUCGAUAAAUUAGUCUGCCAUGUAAUCAUCCAUGAAUUUAAUUACUUCAUUAAAAUACAGAAAUGUA